CUCUCUCGCGUGCAAUCUCCUUGUUUGGCGCAUGAUUUCCGAAAAUGAAGCUUAUGAGAUACAGAAAUUGAGUUUUUUGUAUUUAGAGGAUGAUCACUUGAGUCUUGGUGAAGAUUAGUCACAAUCAAGGUUCGAGCUGCGGGGAUUCAUAUUUUGUUAAUCGUGGAUUUGAUGAUGUCACUUCUGGUGGUAGUGCUAAUAUCUUCUAACUCCUGGUGGUAGUGCUAAUAUCUUUUAGUUUUAUAAUGAAGAAUUUGUGACA